rnacentral:rRNA from 1 species
UACGUAGGUGGCAAGCGUUGUCCGGAUUUAUUGGGUUUAAAGGGUGCGUAGGUGGCCCUGUAGUCAGUGGUGAAAUAUCUCAGCUUAACUGAGAGGGUGCCAUUGAUACUGCAGGGCUUGAGUACAGAUGAGGUAGGCGGAAUUGACGGUGUAGCGGUGAAAUGCAUAGAUAUCGUCAAGAACACCGAUAGCGAAGGCAGCUUACCAAGCUGUAACUGACACUGAGGCACGAAAGUGUGGGGAUCAAACAGG